GGGGACACAGCUCAGUGGUAGAGUCUUGUCUAGUAUGCAUGAGGCCCUGGGUUCAAUCCCCAGCACCA
rnacentral:tRNA from 1 species